AUACGGAGGGUGCGAGCGUUGUUCGGAAUUAUUGGGCGUAAAGAGCAUGUAGGCGGUCUGUUAAGUCUGGUGUGAAAGCCCGGGGCUCAACCCCGGAAGUGCAUUGGAUACUGGCAGACUUGAGUAUGGGAGAGGAAAGCGGAAUUCCGAGUGUAGGAGUGAAAUCCGUAGAUAUUCGGAGGAACACAAGUGGCGAAGGCGGCUUUCUGGACCAAUACUGACGCUGAGAUGCGAAAGCGUGGGGAGCAAACAGGAUUAGAAACCCCAGUAGUCC
rnacentral:rRNA from 1 species